rnacentral:rRNA from 1 species
AUUGAACGCUGGCGGCAUGCUUUACACAUGCAAGUCGAACGGUAACAGGCCGCAAGGUGCUGACGAGUGGCGAACGGGUGAGUAAUGCAUCGGAACGUGCCCAGUCGUGGGGGAUAACGCAGCGAAAGCUGCGCUAAUACCGCAUACGAUCUAUGGAUGAAAGCGGGGGACCGUAAGGCCUCGCGCGAUUGGAGCGGCCGAUGUCAGAUUAGGUAGUUGGUGGGGUAAAGGCUCACCAAGCCAACGAUCUGUAGCUGGUCUGAGAGGACGACCAGCCACACUGGGACUGGGACACGGCCCAGACUCCUACGGGAGGCAGCAGUGGGGAAUUUUGGACAAUGGGCGCAAGCCUGAUCCAGCAAUGCCGCGUGCAGGAAGAAGGCCUUCGGGUUGUAAACUGCUUUUGUACGGAACGAAAAGGCUCUGGUUAAUACCUGGGGCUCAUGACGGUACCGUAAGAAUAAGCACCGGCUAACUACGUGCCAGCCGCCGCCGUAACAC